GAUGAACGCUGGCGGCGUGCCUAAUACAUGCAAGUCGAGCGAACAGAUAAGGAGCUUGCUCCUUUGACGUUAGCGGCGGACGGGUGAGUAACACGUGGGUAACCUACCUAUAAGACUGGAAUAACUCCGGGAAACCGGGGCUAACGCCGGAUAAUAUUUAGAACCGCAUGGUUCUAAAGUGAAAGAUGGUUUUACUAUCACUUAUAGAUGGACCCGCGCCGUAUUAGCUAGUUGGUGGGGUAAUGGCUUACCAAGGCAACGAUACGUAGCCGACCUGAGAGGGUGAGCGGCCACACUGGAACUGAGACACGAUCCAGACUCCUACGGGAGGCAGCAGUAGGGAGUCUUCCGCAAUGGGCGAAAGCCUGUCGGAGCAACGCCGCGUGAGUGAUGAGGGUCUUCGGAUCGUAAAACUCUGUUAUUAGGGAAGAACAAAUGUGUAAGUAACUGUGCACGUCUUGACGGUACCUAAUCAGAAAGCCACGGCUAACUACGUGCCAGCCGCCGCGGUAA
rnacentral:rRNA from 1 species